rnacentral:rRNA from 1 species
ACGUAGGCAGCAAACGUUGUUCGGAGUUACUGGGCGUAAAGAGUACGUAGGCGGUUUGCACAGUUUGGUGUGAAAUCUCCCGGCUUAACUGGGAGGGUGCGCCGAAUACUGGCAGACUUGAGUAUUGGAGAGGAAAGCGGAAUUCCUGGUGUAGCGGUGAAAUGCGUAGAUAUCAGGAGGAACACCGGUGGUGUAGACGGCUUUCUGGACAAUCACUGACGCUGAGGUACGAAAGCGUGGGUAGCAAACAGGAUUAGAUACCCUGGUAGUCCACGCCCUAAACGAUGCAAACUUGGUGUAGGCAGUUCAGUCUGUCUGUGCCGGAGCUAACGCGUUAAGUUUGCCGCCUGGGGAGUACGGUCGCAAGGCUG